UUGCUGCCUGUGGGGAAGCUCGGGGCGGGAGAGGCGAGGCCGCAGCCGGCCGCCUUCUGCCCUGAGGCGAGGCUCCUUGGGGCUCGCGGCGCCGCCGCCAUAUCGUGGCCCUUCCCCCUGAGCCGCCCUUCGGGGGCGUGGGGCUGCGGGCGCGGCGGGGGCCGCUGCGGCCGCUUCCAGCAGCAUGGGGUGGGCAGCGGCGUGGGGCUCCCGGCUGUGGGGGCUGCUGGCGGUGGUGGUGGUGCUGUGCGGGACGGCGGCGGCAGCCGGCCUCGGGGCGGCCCCGCUGCUGUGCAACGUGAGCCUGGACAGCCCCGCCGAGGAGCGGUGGCUGCCGGUGCUGCGGCACUUCGAGCCCGCCUUCCUGCGCGCCGCCGUCGCCCGGGUCAUCGAUGAAACUGUGCCAAAAUGGGUCCACGAAGUUAUUCAGCCAAUUGCAGCAGAGCUGGAGUCCUUCAUGCCACAGCCCUUCGCAGGGGAAAUCCUGGGGCUGUGCAGAGCCCUGGGAAUCAGUUUGGGCGACGGAGUUCUGCUUAACUUCGCCUAUGAAUCCACUGCGUUCUGUACUAGUAUUGUUGCUCAGGAUGAAAAAGGAAACAUUUACCAUGGUCGGAACCUGGAUUAUGACUUUGUAGAUAUAUUAAGUAAAAUUACAAUUGAUGUGCAGUUUAUAAAAAGCGGACAGAUAGCAUAUCAAGGAACCACAUUUCUUGGUUACGUAGGCUUAUGGACUGGACAAAGUCCACACAAGUUCACAGUCUCUGGUGAUGAACGAGCGGGUGGUAGCUGGUGGGAAAAUGCAAUAGCUGCUUUUCUGAAUCGAAAUUACCCUGUCAGCUGGCUUGUCCGAGAUACCCUGAGCAGAGCAGAGGACUUUCAGUCAGCUGUUCUCAGACUAGCUGGCAUUCCCAUCAUCGCUGAAGUUUACUAUAUUGUAGGAGGUGUAUCACCCAAAGAAGGCAUGGUCAUAACGAGGAAUAGAAGAGGGCCAGCUGACCUCUGGCCUCUUGAUCCUUUAAGUGGAGCGUGGUUUCGUGUGGAGACAAAUUAUGACCAUUGGACUACCCCUCCUCCUUUUGAUGACCGAAGAACUCCAGCCAUGAAAGCUCUCAAUGCUACUGGACAGCAGAAUAUCAAUUUUGAUACGCUCUUUCAGGUAUUUCUUUUAAAUUCUGUAUUGUGGCACGUAGACUUUCACUUGAAACUCUUUCAAAGCAGAAGUGGUUACGUGGUUGUCAGUGAUUUUAAAGCUAUGCAAGGAAGGCAUGGUGAAAAGGAUGUGCCAUGCAGCCACCUCUGGAGAGUUUAAGGCUGACAAGUUUGUGCAUUAAAAUGGUUCUGAACUCCCUGUGUAGUCAUUUCAUAAUAGUCUGCCGAUCCAAGUUGGAAGGGUAAGCGAUGAAUCCCAUCACCAUCAUCGCCAUGCAGUUCCCUCGUUCAAGCGCAGUGAUAAAUAUUACAGCAGGCAGCUAAAGUGUUAGACAAGAGUGAUAUUUACCACUUAGUUUUGAGAACUUCAAUUUUGUAUGUUUCAGAAUUUUUAUUUAAUUCUUUUGUUAAAUGGUCCAAUACUUAAAAAUAAAACACAGCAAGAGUAAUUCUUGAUUCUGUAUUAUUUGUGUUUAUAACUUCAUCCUACUGCUGUUUCUAAAUAGCAUUUUAAUUCCCUUUUCACCAAAAUGACACCUUUUCAAACUUUCUGUACAGGUGUUGUCAGUGAAGCCAGUCUUAAAUGAGUAAGUAUUAGAUUCAGAGAUGUCAAUCAGUGCCUCCUACCAUGCCUUGGGCCACUUAAAAGGCCAUCACAAAUUUCCUCAGGAAUUUCCUAUACAUCUGUUUGAGUAUCUUGUCGUUUCCCAGUGUAGAUUUCUGCUUGUGCACAUGGUGCUGAAGACUUUCACAGAACUCCGUCUGUCUCUCUAGCCAUGGAACUGUGCUUUGUUAGGCUUAGUCUGGUAAUGGGAAGUUCCUUUGUAGUAGUGAAACAAGUAACUGCUUACAUGAACAGCAGUACUUUCUACAGUUCUUUUUGCCAACUCAUUUGUACCUUUGACUUUUGGAAAGGUUGGAUUUGUGUUAACACUAGACUCUGGUGCUUCUGAUUUCGCUCUGCUUGAUGUGUGAAAAAUAAAGAAGUCGUAAAUGGGGACAUAGCUUUUAGGUACCAUUUACUGGCUUUUUAAAACAGACUAAUUUCAGUAUAACAUUAUGGUUCUGCAUAGUUCCACAGGUUGCACCUUUGCAGGUUAUCCUGUUUUGCUUUAUUUUUACAUGGAACCCAGUACCUUCUCUAGAUCAGUCACUCACAUUACAGCUUGGCAAUGGCUUCUUCAAAGUCAGUAUGAGGACUUCCUCUCCUCUUUCUUAUAAAUGUGAGGAAAUUUGGAAAGGAGAAGAUUAUAUCUGUGUGACUGUUAAGAUUAGCAAUGCUGUUUUUUUAAUACAGUGACCCAAACCAAUGUAGAAAUACUGUUUCUUUGCUGUACUAAAUGGAAAGAAAAAUUUGAAAACUUGUGCCAGCAGCCAUCAUUUUUAUCAGUCUCUUUCACUCUCUUCCUAGCACUUCUGUACCUAAGCAGAAUGUUUGUUUCCACUAAAAUUUGUCCUGCUGCUUUGCUAGUUUUAUAAAUUAUUCUUCUCAUCUUUGGAAUGAUUUUUCACUGACUGUUUUCUUCUUCCCCUACCAGUAACACAGUGUAUACCACAGUAAUGAGCGCUGCAUUUCCAGAGAAGUACCAGACAUGGAUCAGAACUAUGAAGUGAAGAGGUCAGACCAUAUCGGUGAAAAGCUGAAGCUUUCCAAGACCGGCAUAAGCUUUUAAAAUCACACUCAAACGCACAACAGUUGUUUUGGCUUACUAAUUGUGCAAACCAUUCAGGAAAUAAUGACUUGUUAGUUCUUUGAAGUGUUGCAGAUGAUACUGUUAAUGAACUGUAAAGGAAGAUUGAUUUUAUUUUAACUAUAUUCAUGUUCUAGCAGAUGUUGAUGGCUAAAAAUUGUUUUUAUUGUUUUUGGAAAGAGUUGUGCAAUUUGAUUGUAUUCAUGUACUUACUAGUAAAUAAAAACUAAAUAUAUUUUGUGUGGUAUGUAGGUCUGAACAUAAUUAAAUAAAAAUAUGCAGC